rnacentral:rRNA from 1 species
UGCUUUACACAUGCAAGUCGAACGGUAACAGGUCUUCGGAUGCUGACGAGUGGCGAACGGGUGAGUAAUAUAUCGGAACGUGCCCAGUCGUGGGGGAUAACGUAGCGAAAGUUACGCUAAUACCGCAUACGAUCUACGGAUGAAAGCGGGGGAUCGCAAGACCUCGCGCGAUUGGAGCGGCCGAUAUCAGAUUAGCUAGUUGGUGAGGUAAAGGCUCACCAAGGCGACGAUCCGUAGCAGGUCUGAGAGGAUGACCUGCCACACUGGGACUGAGACACGGCCCAGACUCCUACGGGAGGCAGCAGUGGGGAAUUUUGGACAAUGGGCGAAAGCCUGAUCCAGCCAUGCCGCGUGAGUGAAGAAGGCCUUCGGGUUGUAAAGCUC